rnacentral:rRNA from 1 species
UACAGAGGGUGCGAGCGUUAAUCGGAAUUACUGGGCGUAAAGUGCGCGUAGGCGGCUUUGCAAGUCGGGUGUGAAAUCCCCAGGCUUAACCUGGGAACUGCAUUCGAGACUGCAUUGCUAGAGUAUGGGAGAGGGAAGUGGAAUUUCAGGUGUAGCGGUGAAAUGCGUAGAUAUCUGAAGGAACAUCAGUGGCGAAAGCGACUUCCUGGACCAAUACUGACGCUCAUGUGCGAAAGCGUGGGGAGCGAACAGG